rnacentral:rRNA from 1 species
AAAACAACUCUCAGCACCAGAUAUCUCGGCUCUCAGCGAUGAAGUGCGCAGCGAAAUGCGAUACGUAGUGUGAAUUGCAGAAUUCCGCGAAUCAUCGA